rnacentral:lncRNA from 1 species
AGAUAUUACACACUGAUCGUGGGUGCGAAUGAGAGACGGUGGAGAAGAGUAAGGACCAGCUCAAAGUGGUGGCAGACUCUUUCAGGCUGCUUGACAUUUGAAAUGGCAUAGUUGAGUUGCAGAAUAAUUUUUUCUGGAAGUAGUGAUUUUGUGUAUUGAUUUGUAUUUUUAUCAUCUUAAAGGUGAAACAGCUACUAUUUGAAGAAGAGUGUAUAUA